AACGAACGCUGGCGGCAGGCCUAACACAUGCAAGUCGAGCGCCCCGCAAGGGGAGCGGCGGACGGGUGAGUAACGCGUGGGAAUUUUCCUCAAGGUACGGAACAACCCAGGGAAACUUGGGCUAAUACCGUAUGAUGCAGAGAUGCCAAAGAUUUAUCGCCUUGGGAUAAGCCCGCGUCAGAUUAGGUAGUUGGUGGGGUAACGGCCUACCAAGCCUGCGAUCUGUAGCUGGUCUGAGAGGACGAUCAGCCACACUGGGACUGAGACACGGCCCAGACUCCUACGGGAGGCAGCAGUGGGGAAUCUUGCGCAAUGGGCGAAAGCCUGACGCAGCCAUGCCGCGUGAGUGAUGAAGGUCUUAGGAUUGUAAAGCUCUUUCGCCCGUGACGAUGAUGACGGUAACGGGAGAAGAAGCCCCGGCUAACUUCGUGCCAGCAGCCGCGGUAAUACGAAGGGGGCUAGCGUUGUUCGGAAUUACUGGGCGUAAAGCGCGCGUAGGCGGU
rnacentral:rRNA from 1 species